CAUCAAUUACAAAAUGCUACUGACGUUGAGUUUUCAUUCAGCCGACCUUGGUGCAUUUCUUCAAGUCUUGUAAAUAGAAGUUAAUUCAUUGGUGGAUGUAAAUUGUGCAGACAUGGUCUGUGAUAAUACUCACUCCAAGAGUCACCCAGGGCUGGAAAAGUGCUUCCGUGUCAGAGGCCACACCCUGCAGCCAAGCACAAGGUCCAGCCUUCCCUCAGCAGCUGAGGACUUGCAGACAAUGCGUGCUUGCGUUCCAGCCACAUCUUACUCACCCUGGAGGCUGCCAAGCAGCUAUGAGAGCAUGGGCCUUUCCAUUAGGACACCUGUAUUAGUUUCCUCAGGCUGCCAUAACAACCUACCACAGAUGGGGUGACAAACAACAGAACUUUAUUUUCUCACAAUUCUGGAGGCUGGAAGCCUGAGAUCAAGGUGCCAGCAAGAUUGGUUUCUUCUGAGACUUCUCUGUGUAGCAUAGAGAGAGCCUCCAUUCUGUGUCUUCGUGUGGUCUUCCUUCUGUGCUUGUCUGUAACCAAUCUCCUCUUCCUAUAAUGACAUCAGUCAGUGACCUUGAUAGCUACAAGUGGAGAUGGAUCUUUGAGCUAUCAGAUGGAAGGCUGUCUCUGCAGACCCACACUGGAUUCUACAUAAAUAAGAAGUAUAAGUGUAACUUCGUUGUGCUAAGUCACUGAGCUUUUCGGAUUUGUUUGUUAUUGCAGCAUAGCUUAACAUUGCUCUGACUAAUGCCAUAUACAAACCUUAAACAUGUGCAAGGGUUUAUUUCUUCAUCUGCCCACACCCAAGAAUUGCUUUCCUAAAAACUUAAAAUGUAUAUAAAUUAUAUGUGUUUAUUAUGGAAAAUUAUGAAAUACAAAUAAACAGAAAAGAAGAAAGUAAAAAUCAUCUAUAAUCCUCUUGGUCAGAGUUAUCUACUGUUAACAUUUUCAUGUCUACACAUCAUGUUUUUUCUAUGUAUAUAGAAAUAUAAAUUUAUGUAUAUAUGCACAUAAACUUAUAUGUGUGUUUACAUAUUAUUGUAGAACCUACUUUUUUUUGAGAGAGGAAGAGAGCGUCUCUCUCUGUCACCCAGGCUGGAGUGUAAUAGAGUGAGCACAGCUCACUGCAGCUUCGACUGUCUGGUCUCAAGCAAUCUUCCCGCCUCAGCCUCUUGAGUAGCUGAGAUAGCUGAGACUACAGGCAUGCACCACCAUACCCGGCUAAUUUUUGUAUUUUUUGUAGAGAUGGGGUCUUGCCAUGUUGCCAAGGCAACUUCUGGGCUCAAGCUGUCCGCCCGCCUCGGCCUCCCAGAGUGCUGGGAUUACAGGCGUGAGCCACUGCGCCUGGCCACAACCUACUUUUUUAUUUGACAAAAUAUUCUGUUAAUUUUCUCAAAGCAAUAAAUACUAUUCUAGAACUCAAUUUUUUUAAUUUUUUUUUCUGAGACAGAGUCUUGCUCUGUCGGCCAGGCUAGAGUGCAGUGGUGCGAUUUCACUGUAACCUCCCCCUCCCGGGUUCAAGCAAUUCUCCUGCCUCAGCCUCCUGAGUAGGUAGGAUUACAGGCUUAUGCCACACAUGCCAGGCUAAUUUUUGUAUUUUUAGUAGAGACAGGGUUUCACCAUGUUGGCCGGGCUGGUCUAGAACUCCUGACCUCAUGAUCCACCCGCCUCAGCCUCCCAACAUGCUGGGAUUACAGGUGUGAGCCACCGCGCCCAGCCUAGAA
rnacentral:lncRNA from 1 species